UACGUAGGGUGCAAGCGUUAAUCGGAAUUACUGGGCGUAAAGCGUGCGUAGGCGGUUUCUUAAGUCUGCUGUGAAAUCCCCGGGCUCAACCUGGGAAUGGCAGUGGAUACUGGGAGGCUAGAGUGUGAUAGAGGAUGGUGGAAUUCCCGGUGUAGCGGUGAAAUGCGUAGAGAUCGGGAGGAACAUCAGUGGCGAAGGCGGCCAUCUGGAUCAACACUGACGCUGAGGCACGAAAGCGUGGGGAGCAAACAGG
rnacentral:rRNA from 1 species